rnacentral:lncRNA from 1 species
CCCCAUCCAGGCACAUUACUUUUCCUGUUGCAUUUAGGAUUUUUCCUUAUGUGUUGACAUUCUACUGAGCUCUGAUGCUUGUUUGCAUUAAAUUAUUUCGCUUCUGUGCCCUGAUUCUUAUCUCACAUUGCCUUUGGGUUGUGCAAGCCUGUAAUCCCCUUGCUGAUUCACAGUCAUGAUUGCAAGCCUGGAGUCAAACUUGUGUCUCUGAGUCUCUGARGGGUGCCCCUUGCUGCUUCCACAAGCGCUUUCAAGGAAAUCUUUCUCUUUUUAGCCAUCAUUAAGUCGUCUGGUUGAGCAAAUGGCCCCUGAAGAGGAAGCCUGAGCUAGUCUAUGAAUUAUUUACUAGGAAAUAGCCUAAGAAGGAGUGACCUUCCUCUCCUCCCAGAGCCUGGGCUGUAACCUGGCUGGCACGUGGACAUCGGAGACGCGUAGGCACCUGGCCCGACUCCUUCCCAAUGCCAACAGCUUCUCCUCUCCCCCAGCUCCAGCUUGCCAUCAUUUUUCAAAUAGCAUCAUGUUAGGAAGUAACCAGAACCAGUCUAACUCCAGAACCAAGGUCUAGGAGGGAGAAGAUGCAUCACAGCUUUCUGCUGGUUGAAGAGAUGAAUCAUUUAAGCUACUCCAUUCUCUUUACAUUUUAAAAUAAGAUGGUACCACUCCGGCCUGUAACCCUCCUGUUUUACCUGUCAGGCUCUCCAGCGUCAUUAUUAAUGGACUUCCAGGCUCCCUGUUUUGCUUCCCUUGUUACCGUUCAGAGUUCAGAAGGGUCGCUGUGGCAGCUGGGCCCCCAAAAUCAUAUGGGAGUUUGCAGAAGUUGAUAGCUGGUCUGUGAGACAAUUACAGUGAAUACCAAUGAAAUCCUCAGCACAGGUAAAACAAUUAUAAAUGCUGGUUAAAAAAAUGAAGAUGUGAACACUGAAAUAUGGUCACAAGCACAUGAGUCUACCUUCUGCUGUGCCUCCCAACCGCUGCUCUGCUCCCAGCAGAUAAGGUAGGUCUAAGUCCCUUUCUUUCUGGUAAGAGUACUGCAGAAUGAGGUUACUCUGUCAUGCCCGUGAUGAGGCAUGGAUUAUCCACUGCAGAAGCAAUGACAUGUUAUUGGCAGACACCUCACCGCUGCACUCUGCUGUGCUUUGGCCCUUUUGAUGUCAGAGCAUUUCGUUGGGAGAAGGGAAGUAGGAGGAGGUGAAAACUCCUGGCAGUGGAGCUCAGUCAGGAGAGAAUGGUCACGACAGGGAUUUGUACUUGCACAAAAGCUAUAGGAAUAGAGAGGAAUACAUCUGAGUAUGAAUCACUCUAGCUGCUACUUCAGGCCGUUUAGGAGUUGUUUUGUCAUGAUUGCUGUUCCUGAUGCUUUGUGAGAGGGCUCUGUGGCACAAGUACAGCUGAACUUGGUAGCAUCUGGUAGUGUGCAAUAAUUUGAGAUAUCCAUGCUGUGGGCAUCCAUGCUGAAGAUAGCACUGAGGUUCAGUCACCCCAGGCUCCUUAUCACCCUAAAUAGUUGAUUGCUCUCUGGCCUGCCUCAUUCAAAAGCCAGUAAUGCGCUGCAUGCAUUUGUACCAGGUAUGGUUAUCAGUUAUGAAAUCAUACCAUCCAGGAGAAAAGAAAAGAUUCCUUCGGUUUGCAGUUGGAAAAUAUCAUAGAUGAAGCUGGAGGACUUCUACUAACGAAUCACAAAUGCCAUGGCCUCAUGAAAACAAAAUGCUUAUCUAGAAUAAACACACUCUGGUGGUGGAAACCUGUUUUUAA